rfam:Staphylococcus cohnii subsp. cohnii strain 073AN genome assembly, contig: ERS576551SCcontig000009
UCCUUUAAUUAGGACGACGUGUAUAAAUAUUAUACGCUCCCCCUUGCAAAUGCUGUGAGAGGGAGCGAUUUU